rnacentral:pre_miRNA from 1 species
CUGGGCCGUCUUACACGCACGUCACUCUGGUCGUAUCGGUAGUCCUAGUGGCUUGCUUGUAGGCUGUCC